AUAAGAUAUCAAGGGCAACAGGUGAAUGCCUUGGCGCUGAGAGGCGAUGAAAGACGCGGUAAGCUGCGAUAAGCAUCGGGGAGGAGCUAAACAUCCUACGAUCCGAUGAUUUCUGAAUGGGGAAACCCGAUGGGAGUCAUGUCCCAUCAUCCUGAGCUGAAUAUAUAGGCCCAGAGAAGCCAACCCGGGGAAGUGAAACAUCUCAGUACCCGGAGGAAGAGAAAUCAAACGAGACUCCCAAAGUAGCGGCGAGCGAAAUGGGAAGAGCCCAAACCGGGUGGUUUCGACCAUUCGGGGUUGUAGGGCCGGCAUACGCGAUUCUGGAGUAGGCAGAGGAAGUGAGCUGGAAAGCUCCGCCACAGCGGGUGAUAGCCCCGUACUCGAAACCGAAAAGGACGCAGCCGGUACCUGAGUACUGCGAGGCACGUGGAACCUCGUGGGAAUCUAGGGGGACCAUCCUCUAAGGCUAAGUACUCCUCAGCGACCGAUAGUGAACUAGUACCGUGAGGGAAAGGUGAAAAGAACCCCUGUUAGGGGAGUGAAAUAGAAUCUGAAACCUGUUGCCUACAAGCUGCGAGAGCUGCUUCGGUAGUGAUCGCGUGCCUUUUGUAUAAUGAGUCAGCGAGUUACUCUACCGUGCGAGGUUAAGCGAAAGCGUAGCCGUAGUGAAAGCGAGGCUUAAUAGGCCGACUAGUACGUUGGAGUAGACCCGAAACCGGGUGAUCUAUCCAUGAGCAGGUUGAAGCAAGGGUAAAGCCUUGUGGAGGACCGAACCGUCAACGGCUGAAAACGUUCCGGAUGACUUGUGGAUAGGGGUGAAAGGUCAAUCAAACCCGGUGAUAGCUGGUUCUCCCCGAAAUAUAUUGAGGUAUAGCCUCGGGAAUUGAUUAGCGGAGGUAAAGCACUGACAGAGCUAGGGGUCCUACCAGAUUACCAAACUCUAUCAAACUCAGAAUGCCGCUUAAUCGUAUCCCGGGAGUCAGACGGCGGGUGCGAAGGUUCGUCGUCAAAAGGGAAACAGCCCAGACCAACAGCUAAGGUCUCCAAAUCCAUGCUCAGUGGUGAAGGUAGUGGAACCGUUUAGACAGCCAGGACGUUGGCUUAGAAGCAGCCAUCAUUUAAAGAAAGCGUAAUAGCUCACUGGUCUAAUGGCUCUGCGCCGAAAAUGUAACGGGGCUAAGCAUGGUACCGAAGCUUUGGCAAUCCCCUUUGGGGAUUGGGUAGGGGAGCGUUCGCUGCGGGCUGAAGGUGUGCCGGAAGGCAUGCUGGACUGCAGUGAAGUGAUUAUGCUGACAUGAGUAACGAUAAAAUAUGUGAAAAACAUAUUCGCCGAAAACCCGAGGUUUCCUGGGUAAAGGUAAUCUUCCCAGGGUUAGUCGGAUCCUAAGGUGAGGGUGAAAGCCGUAACCGAUGGAAAACAGGUUAAUAUUCCUGUACUUGUUGUGUAGCGCGAUGGAGGGACGCAGGAAGAUAGGCGGGCCGGGUGUUGGAUAUCCCGGUGCAAGCGUGUAGGAAUAUCCGGUAGGCAAAUCCGCCGGACGAAUCUGAGACGCGAGUCCGUGGGCGCAAGCCCUGAAGCCGUUGAGUCUAUGCUGCCUAGAAAAGCUCCUAAGUUUAUCCACAGCAAUCCGUACCGCAAACCAACUCAGGUGGAUGGGAUGAAUAAUCCAAGGCGCUCGAGAGAACUCUGGCCAAGGAACUCGGCAAAAUGACCCCGUAACUUCGGAAGAAGGGGUGCUCUCUAGGGUGACAUGUUUAACAUAUGAAGCCCCGGGGAGCCGCAGUGAAUUGGUGGUGGCGACUGUUUACUAAAAACAUAGGUCUGUGCGAAGUCCUAAAGACGACGUAUACGGACUGACGCCUGCCCGGUGCUGGAAGGUUAAAAGGAGGGGUCAGCGCAAGCAAAGCUCCGAAUUGAAGCCCCAGUAAACGGCGGCCGUAACUAUAACGGUCCUAAGGUAGCGAAAUUCCUUGUCGGGUAAGUUCCG
rnacentral:rRNA from 1 species